rnacentral:rRNA from 1 species
GACGAACGCUGGCGGCGUGCCUAAUACAUGCAAGUCGAGCGGACCAAAGGGAGCUUGCUCCUGGAGGUUAGCGGCGAACGGGUGAGUAACACGUGGGCAACCUGCCUGUAAGACUGGGAUAACAUCGAGAAAUCGGUGCUAAUACCGGAUAAUAAAAAGAACUGCAUGGUUCUUUUUGUAAAGAUGGUUUCGGCUAUCACUUACAGAUGGGCCGCGGCGCAUUAGCUAGUUGGUGAGGUAACGGCUCACCAAGGCAACGAUGCGUAGCCGACCUGAGAGGGUGAUCGGCCACACUGGGACUGAGACACGGCCCAGACUCCUACGGGAGGCAGCAGUAGGGAAUCUUCCGCAAUGGACGAAAGUCUGACGGAGCAACGCCGCGUGAGUGAUGAAGGUUUUCGGAUCGUAAAACUCUGUUGUUAGGGAAGAACAAGUGCCGUUCGAAAGGGCGGCACCUUGACGGUACCUAACGAGAAAGCCACGGCUAACUACGUGCCAGCAGCCGCGGUAAAGU